rnacentral:rRNA from 1 species
AGUAACGGCGAGUGAAGCGGUAACAGCUCAAAUUUGAAAUCUGGCCUCACGGUCCGAGUUGUAAUUUGUAGAGGAUGCUUCGAGCAUGGUCUGGCCUAAGUUCCUUGGAACAGGACGUCAUAGAGGGUGAGAAUCCCGUAUGCGGCCAGGUGCCUACGCUCAUGUGAAGCUCCUUCGACGAGUCGAGUUGUUUGGGAAUGCAGCUCAAAAUGGGUGGUAAAUUUCAUCUAAAGCUAAAUAUUGGCCAGAGACCGAUAGCGCACAAGUAGAGUGAUCGAAAGAUGAAAAGCACUUUGGAAAGAGAGUUAAACAGUACGUGAAAUUGUUGAAAGGGAAGCGCUUGCAACCAGACUUGCGCGCGGCCGAUCAUCCGGUGUUCUCACCGGUGCACUCGGCCGUGCUCAGGCCAGCAUCGGUUUUGGCGGCUGGAUAAAGGCCCUAGGAAUGUGGCUCCUCUCGGGGAGUGUUAUAGCCUAGGGUGCAAUGCAGCCUGCUGGGACCGAGGACCGCGCUUCGGCUAGGAUGCUGGCGUAAUGGUUGUAAGCGGCCCGUCUUGAAACACGGACCAAGGAGUCUAACAUCUAUGCGAGUGUUUGGGUGUCAAACCCAUACGCGUAAUGAAAGUGAACGGAGGUGAGAACCCUUAAGGGUGCAUCAUCGACCGAUCCUGAUGUCUUCGGAAGGAUUUGAGUAAGAGCAUAGCUGUUGGGACC